rnacentral:rRNA from 1 species
GCCCGCACAAGCGGUGGAGCAUGUGGUUUAAUUCGAUGCAACGCGAAGAACCUUACCUACUCUUGACAUCCAGAGAAUUUAGCAGAGAUGCUUUGGUGCCUUCGGGAACUNUGAGACAGGUGCUGCAUGGCUGUCGUCAGCUCGUGUUGUGAAAUGUUGGGUUAAGUCCCGCAACGAGCGCAACCCUUAUCCUUUGUUGCCAGCGAUUCGGUCGGGAACUCAAAGGAGACUGCCAGUGAUAAACUGGAGGAAGGUGGGGAUGACGUCAAGUCAUCAUGGCCCUUACGAGUAGGGCUACACACGUGCUACAAUGGCAUAUACAAAGAGAAGCGACCUCGCGAGAGCAAGCGGACCUCAUAAAGUAUGUCGUAGUCCGGAUUGGAGUCUGCAACUCGACUCCAUGAAGUCGGAAUCGCUAGUAAUCGUGGAUCAGAAUGCCACGGUGAAUACGUUCCCGGGCCUUGUACACACCGCCCGUCACACCAUGGGAGUGGGUUGCAAAAGAAGUNNNUUAGGGUUAACNCU